CAUGCAAAUAAUGGCAGCAAGACCUCCUAGAUGAAGUAUUUUUCUUCUCACUCACAAGCUUGGUGUGUUGCAUAUGAAAAUCUACGAGGACCCAAAACCCCAGACUUUAUUUUUGGGCAGCUCCCCAUAGUUGUUGAUGCAGAAAUAAGGGAUUUUUCCAGAGUUUUUACAUCAGAAGUGUGGGACAGAAGAUAAGGAGAUGAUACAUAGAAAGGAAAUGCCAAACAGCAAGAGCAAGACCAGAAAAAAAUCCAGGACUGGCUGGCUUUUACCUGUGCUUCAAGGUUUACAUUCAUCCGGAAUUUUGAUUACAGAAUAUUAGCUUAUAGACUUCAAAUUUGAAGUUGAGCAGUGAAGUUAUUCAAAACUUUUGGGGAAUUUUUAGUAUCUUCAACAUGGAAUUGUAUCCAAUAAUCAGAGCUGAAGAACAAAUUGAAGAAUCCAAGUCAUGAGGCAUAAAUUCACUGCCCUAACCACUGCAGCAGUGCUGAACCAGAAGAGAUUGCUGAAGAAAUUACAGCACAAGAAAAAAGGAAAGCACAGGGGUGGAGGCAAAGGGGAAUGAAUCCCACUCAGUUUCAGUUCUUGCCAAAUUGAGAGAAGGUGGCUGCAAGGAAUUGUAGCACUGGUGUGUCUGCUCUGACACCAGUGCUGGACAAGAGGCAGCAGUAAGAAACAACUCUGUAAAGCCUGGCAGACUCAGCAGUGGUAAAGGCGAUCCAUGAAGGAUAUUCACUACCAAUUACCAAAGGAAGCAGCUAAACAGGAGAAACAGGUAUUAAACACACUGCAUAGAUUAAAAUUAAACAGCAUUUUUUAGCUAAAUGAGUUGAUCUGUCCCUCCUAGUAGGACUGUCUUGCUGUACUGUCUGUAACCUUUAGCCACAGCUUGGAUUGCAGGCUUGAGUUACGUGCUGACAAUAACCACACUGUCUCGCUGACUUAUUUUGACAGUUUAUGUCCGGUUACUUUCAGUGAUUUGCAAAGCUGACAUUUCCCUUUAGUGAACCUGAAACUCCUUUCUGCUGUAUUGCCCAGAUAUUUUUAACAUACCAGGCAGUAAUGAAAGGCAGAGAAAAGAGGGUUUCUUCCUCGCUGAACCUGGGGAGGGGGUCUGACAGCAAAUCCGAGGGGUGAAAGGAGCUGGAUAUAAACAACGACUGGGCCCCAGGUUAGUAUAGCUGUGGUCAGAGGCUUAUUUCUAUUAAUUUGUCAUGCUGUAAAUGCCACAUUACUGCUCUGUUCCGUAGCAGAUACUCUUCUGAUGUUACAAUAUUUUCUUUCCUUAUGGUAAAGUGUAUCUGAUUGAGCCAAUUUAUCCUGACAGCUUUCCUAAGUUAACUUCUCUGUGAAUUCCCAGUUCAUUUAAUAUAUUUUCCUCAUGCUUCCCACAUUUGAGUUACCUUUGUUCUGUGUCUGAAGGAUAGGAAGCUGAUAGUUAUUUUAUAUUUAUAUUUCAAGGCUGCUUAAUGUUUAAUGAGGCUGAAUAUGUUGUAAAAAGCUUCAGAACACUCAGGCUGGUUAAUAUUUCAUGUCGAUCUACAGAGACAACUAUAUUGAUCUUUUAAGCAUCUGCUAAACAAGACAAGGAAUAAAUUAGAUUUUGGUCAGUUUGAUUUGGCUGGUGAGUUAAAUAGCUUUUAGAGCAUUAUCACCUUUUAAAAUGUUUUGUUUCCAGUUGA